GACGAACGCUGGCGGCGUGCUUAACACAUGCAAGUCGAACGAAAAUACCAAGCUUGCUUGGUUGAUUAGUGGCGAACGGGUGAGUAACACGUGAGUAACCUGCCCCUUACUUUCCUGGAUAACUGCUCGAAAGGGUAGCUAAUACGGGAUAUUCUGACCAGCCUGCAUGGGUUGGUUUGGAAAGGUUGUUUUUCUGGUAAGGGAUGGGCUCGCGGCCUAUCAGCUUGUUGGUGGGGUGAUGGCCUACCAAGGCUUUGACGGGUAGCCGGCCUGAGAGGGUGGACGGUCACACUGGGACUGAGAUACGGCCCAGACUCCUACGGGAGGAAGCAGUGGGGAAUAUUGCACAAUGGGCGCAAGCCUGAUGCAGCGACGCCGCGUGAGGGAUGAAGGCCUUCGGGUUGUAAACCUCUUUCGUCAGGGAACAAGGCACUGCUUUUUGGUGGUGUUGAGGGUACCUGGAUAAGAAGCGCCGGCUAACUACGUG
rnacentral:rRNA from 1 species